CGGGGUGCAGCAGGCGCGAAAACUUUACAAUGCUGGCAACAGCGAUAAGGGGACCUUGAGUGCCAGGAUACAAUCCUGGCUGUCGUGAUGCCUAAAAAGCAUUAUAUAGCAAGGGCCGGGCAAGACCGGUGCCAGCCGCCGCGGUAACACCGGCGGCUCGAGUGGUAACCGCUAUUAUUGGGUCUAAAGGGUCUGUAGCCGGCUUGGUUAGUCUCUUGGGAAAUCCGGCAGCUUAACUGUCGGGCUUUCAGGAGAUACUGCCAGGCUCGAGACCGGGAGAGGUGAGAGGUACUUCAUGGGUAGGGGUGAAAUCUAGUAAUCCUUGAAGGACCACCAGUGGCGAAGGCGUCUCACCAGAACGGAUCUGACGGCAAGGGACGAAAGCUAGGGGCACGAACCGGAUUAGAUACCCGGGUAGUCCUAGCCGUAAACGAUACUCGCUAGGUGUCGGCCACGGUGCGACCGUGGUCGGUGCCGUAGGGAAGCCGUGAAGCGAGCCACCUGGGAAGUACGGCCGCAAGGCUGAAACUUAAAGGAAUUGGCG
rnacentral:rRNA from 1 species